UUCUGAUUGAUCUUGUAGCCUUGUAGGUGUCAAAGAAGUUCCUAGUGUCCCAUGCGUUGACAGGCAAUCAGCAUGAAGGACCCUAUGAGCCAAGAGCUCCUUGAGGCUGUUGAGGAAGAGCGUAAUGUGCAAGAAAAUCAUGCGCGUACAAAAACUAUUUUUCGCUAUCCUCUAAUAGUCUGCUUGAAGAUUAUGAGGUGUGGUACAUGCUGAUAUUCAUUUCGGGAGUGUGCUUCCAGUAAUGACAAGUGAUGGCACGAUUUUGAGGUCUGGAGGAAAAUAUAUUCUACUUUCUACCUUGUUCA